AUUGAACGCUGGCGGCAGGCCUAACACAUGCAAGUCGAACGGUAACAGGGAUCAGCUUGCUGAUUCGCUGACGAGUGGCGGACGGGUGAGUAAUGUCUGGGAAACUGCCUGAUGGAGGGGGAUAACUACUGGAAACGGUAGCUAAUACCGCAUAACGUCGCAAGACCAAAGAGGGGGACCUUCGGGCCUCUUGCCAUUGGAUGUGCCCAGAUGGGAUUAGCUAGUAGGUGGGGUAACGGCUCACCUAGGCGACGAUCCCUAGCUGGUCUGAGAGGAUGACCAGCCACACUGGAACUGAGACACGGUCCAGACUCCUACGGGAGGCAGCAGUGGGGAAUAUUGCACAAUGGGCGCAAGCCUGAUGCAGCCAUGCCGCGUGUAUGAAGAAGGCCUUCGGGUUGUAAAGUACUUUCAGCGGGGAGGAAGGGAGUAAAGUUAAUACCUUUGCUCAUUGACGUUACCCGCAGAAGAAGCACCGGCUAACUCCGUG
rnacentral:rRNA from 1 species